GAUGAACGCUGGCGGCGUGCCUAAUACAUGCAAGUCGAGCGAACGGACGAGAAGCUUGCUUCUCUGAUGUUAGCGGCGGACGGGUGAGUAACACGUGGAUAACCUACCUAUAAGACUGGGAUAACUUCGGGAAACCGGAGCUAAUACCGGAUAAUAUUUUGAACCGCAUGGUUCAAAAGUGAAAGACGGUCUUGCUGUCACUUAUAGAUGGAUCCGCGCUGCAUUAGCUAGUUGGUAAGGUAACGGCUUACCAAGGCAACGAUGCAUAGCCGACCUGAGAGGGGGAUCGGCCACACUGGAACUGGGACACGGUCCAGACUCCUCCGGGAGGCGGCGUUAGGGAAUCUUCCGCAAUGGGCGAAAGCCUGACGGGGCAACGCCGCGUGAGUGAUGAAGGUCUUCGGAUCUUAAAACUCUGUUAUUGGGGAAGAACAUAUGUGUAAGUAACUGUGCACAUCUUGACGGUACCUAAUCAGAAAGCCACGGCUAACUACGUG
rnacentral:rRNA from 1 species